UAGUUGGAUCCUGGCUCAGGACGAACGCUGGCUGCGUGCUUAACACAUGCAAGUCGAACGCUGAAGCCCUGGUGCUUGCACCGGGGUGGAUGAGUGGCGAACGGGUGAGUAACACGUGAGUAACCUGCCCCCGACUUCGGGAUAAGCCCGGGAAACUGGGUCUAAUACCGGAUAUGACGACCGAAGGCAUCUUUGGUUGUGGAAAGUUUUUUCGGUUGGGGAUGGGCUCGCGGCCUAUCAGUUUGUUGGUGAGGUAAUGGCUCACCAAGACGACGACGGGUAGCCGGCCUGAGAGGGCGACCGGCCACACUGGGACUGAGACACGGCCCAGACUCCUACGGGAGGCAGCAGUGGGGAAUAUUGCACAAUGGGGGAAACCCUGAUGCAGCGACGCAGCGUGCGGGAUGACGGCCUUCGGGUUGUAACCGCUUUCAGCAGGGAAGAACCCCUUGGGGUGACGGUCCUGCAGAAGAAG
rnacentral:rRNA from 1 species